rnacentral:rRNA from 1 species
UUUUGAGCGUAAAGUUAUUAUCUUUAAUUAUUGUUAGUUAAGGUCUUAAAAGUUAAAAGAUUUGGCGGUAUUUUAGUCUGUUCAGAGGAACCUGUUCUUUAAUCGAUAAUCCACGAUUAGCCUUACUUUGACUAGUAAAUUUAUAUAUCGUUGUUUACAAAGAUUUUAGCAGGACUAUAAUUUUUGAGUUGCGUUAUUACGUCUUAUUUCAGAUCAAGGUGUAGUUUAUGCCAAAGUUAGGAUGGGUUACAGUGAGCCUAUUAUUUGGUCUCUUUCUUUAAAAUUUGGGGUAAAUUGGAUUUGAUAGUAAUUAUUAAAUAUUUGCUUAAUGAUUUAGCUCUAAAAUAUGC